rnacentral:rRNA from 1 species
CACGUAGGGGGCGAGCGUUGUCCGGAUUUAUUGGGCGUAAAGAGCUCGUGGGCGGCUCAGUAAGUCAGGUGUGAAAACUCCAGGCUCAACCUGGAGACGCCACCUGAUACUGCUGUGGCUAGAGUCCGGUAGGGGAGCAUGGAAUUCCUGGUGUAGCGGUGAAAUGCGCAGAUAUCAGGAGGAACACCAGUGGCGAAGGCGGUGCUCUGGGCCGGAACUGACGCUGAGGAGCGAAAGCGUGGGGAGCAAACAGG